AGCUGCCCUGGGAAUCUUGUCUGAACAACAAGUUAACUGCUGUUCCCAGUUAUAUCUGGUCUUUCCCACCCCCAAACAUACACAAAAGAUUUUUGUCAUUCUUGGCACUGGACAACAGAAGUGAUAAGACAUGCCAGCAGAACUCUAAAGGCAGAAUGUCCUUCCACCUGUUUUAUGCUGUAAGACAAACUUCCAAGUGCGAGGCAGUGUGGAGGGCUGUUGCCUUGAAUGGCAGCUGAAUGCACCAGCGGGAUCCUUGGCAGCAAUGCCCAGGCACUGAAGUCGGGCAUUCAGGAGAGCUAAAUGGAGAAAAGAAACUUGAGCAAACUGCUUCCUGGAACACUGAGAACCUGAAUGGGAAAUUAAGAAGAACCAGAUUCUUUCUAUUCUUCCACCAGCCAAGGUCAGAUUUCCAAACUUCUAUUGAUUCUAAUCUUUCCCAAACAGUGCUGUGGCAAUGUAUGAAAGUAAUAAAAAUAAUCCUUUUUCUGUUAAAAAAAAAAUUGCUGUUACUUGCUGUUUUGUUAUGCUUUUGCUGGAGAUUUUCCCACCCAUCUUAAAGCAGCAACUUCAGGAUGGGGGAAUCAAGCAAAACCAUGGUGAAGAGAUUCAUUUAAAGAGGACAAGUGAUUUAUUCUACAUCUCAGGAGACAGUUCCUUAAGGUGAUGAGCACAAAAGGAUCCAUCUUAUACAGUGCUUGCCAGCUUCCAUAAUACUACUCACCACGAUGUUGAAAUCACCUGUUCCAGAACCAGUCCUGUCCUUUGACAAGAAGGAUUUAAUUAUCAGUAGUGGUGGGGACUGGCUGGAGAGAGGAAAAACACUUCAAGGACUCUGCCACCUUUCGUAGAUGGAGAGUGCAAAGUUUGUACCAUGGAACUCCUUCUCUAACAGUUACUCUGUGGCAGUGCCUAUUUCAAACCUCCCUUAACUUCUGAUUGUAUAGAUGUUUGUUUCAUUUGUUCAUCUGUUUGUUCACUUAGUCAGAGAUGUUUUAAGCCUUAAGAGAAAUAGUGGACUAGAAAAUGCCUUGGAAAAGUACAAAGUUCAAUCCAAGUAAACUGUUUUUAAACUAGGAAUUUAUGAAGCCUAAAAUAUAAAAUGUAUAUACAUGGAUAUGCUCUGAAGUGAGGUAGAGGGGUAGAAAUCAACAUUGUGAUAUUGUACUAUAGUUUUGCAAGAUGUUACCAUUGGGGGAAAAUGUUUGAAGGGUAUACGGGAUAUCUCUGCCUUAUUUCUUACAACUGCAUGUGAAUCUACAGUUAUCUCAAAAUAAAAAUUUAAUUAACAAUUGAUUACAAUUAA
rnacentral:lncRNA from 10 species